UUAUCUUAGUGGAAUAUUAUCUCAGUUGGAUAUUAUUACAGUUGGGUGUUGAAUUGCUGUUGAAAUUUGUAAAUUGUGGACUGAUUGUGUUGUAAUUGUGUUGGAUUUAUUUGGUUUUGGUUGAAGUUAUAAUCAAUCAUUACAUCUUGUUGGUCGAAUUUGAACCAAGUGUAACAACAAAAAGAAAGAUUUUUGAAGAAUGAUAGAGGAAAAAAGUUAAACGAUCAUCUGAGGAUUUCAAUUUCACAGUUAGAAUUGAGAUUUUUGGGGAGAGAUUUUUGAAUUUUGCAAGAGGACGAUGGAGAGUAGGGUUAGAUGAGAAAUAGUUAGAUGAAUAAAAAUAACAGUGUAAAAAAAAAAAAGAUGAACAAUACAAUUAUU
rnacentral:lncRNA from 1 species